rnacentral:rRNA from 1 species
AGUGAACGCUGGCGGUAGGCCUAACACAUGCAAGUCGAACGGCAGCACAGUAAGAGCUUGCUCUUACGGGUGGCGAGUGGCGGACGGGUGAGGAAUACAUCGGAAUCUACUUUUUCGUGGGGGAUAACGUAGGGAAACUUACGCUAAUACCGCAUACGACCUACGGGUGAAAGCAGGGGAUCUUCGGACCUUGCGCGAUUGAAUGAGCCGAUGUCGGAUUAGCUAGUUGGCGGGGUAAAGGCCCACCAAGGCGACGAUCCGUAGCUGGUCUGAGAGGAUGAGCAGCCACACUGGAACUGAGACACGGUCCAGACUCCUACGGGGGGCAGCAGUGGGGAAUUUUGGACAAUGGGCGCAAGCCUGAUCCAGCCAUACCGCGUGGGUUAAGAAGGCCUUCGGGUUGUAAAGCCCUUUUGUUGGGAAAGAAAAGCAGCAGGUUAAUACCCCGCUGUUCUGACGGUACCCAAAGAAUAAGCACCGGCUAACUUCGUG